rnacentral:rRNA from 1 species
UCAGAACGAACGCUGGCGGCAUGCCUAACACAUGCAAGUCGAACGAAGGCUUCGGCCUUAGUGGCGCACGGGUGAGUAACACGUGGGAACCUGCCUUUCGGUUCGGAAUAACGUCUGGAAACGGACGCUAACACCGGAUACGUCCUUCGGGAGAAAGUUUACGCCGAGAGAAGGGCCCGCGUCGGAUUAGGUAGUUGGUGAGGUAAAGGCUCACCAAGCCUUCGAUCCGUAGCUGGUCUGAGAGGAUGAUCAGCCACACUGGGACUGAGACACGGCCCAGACUCCUACGGGAGGCAGCAGUGGGGAAUAUUGGACAAUGGGCGCAAGCCUGAUCCAGCAAUGCCGCGUGAGUGAUGAAGGCCUUAGGGUUGUAAAGCUCUUUCGCACGCGACGAUGAUGACGGUAGCGUGAGAAGAAGCCCCGGCUAACUUCGUGCCAGCAGCCGCGGUAAUACGAAGGGGGCUAGCGUUGUUCGGAAUUACUGGGCGUAAAGGGCGCGUAGGCGGCCUGUUUAGUCAGAAGUGAAAGCCCCGGGCUCAACCUGGGAAUAGCUUUUGAUACUGGCAGGCUUGAGUUCCGGAGAGGAUGGUGGAAUUCCCAGUGUAGAGGUGAAAUUCGUAGAUAUUGGGAAGAACACCGGUGGCGAAGGCGGCCAUCUGGACGGACACUACGCUAGGCGC